UAUAUACAUAAUGAGCCUCUAACAGUCCCCUAGAGGGAAUUUGUACCGUUAAUGUUUUUGUCAGAGGUUCUGAUCUAAAAUCAAGAUUACAAAUAAAUGUAUGAAAAAUAAAAGAGUGAGUAGCACCUGUAUCGAUCAAAGCAUUGGUAGAAGUGUCAUGAAUAGAAAGCAUACCUUGAACAAGAAAAUGAGUAAGAAGAGC
rnacentral:lncRNA from 1 species